rnacentral:rRNA from 1 species
UGGGGAAUAUUGCGCAAUGGACGAAAGUCUGACGCAGCGACGCCGCGUGUGGGAUGAAGCUUUUCGGAGUGUAAACCACUGUUGCUCGGGACGAACAUCCCCUUUCGAGGGGACUGACGGUACCGAGUGAGGAAGCACCGGCUAACUCUGUGCCAGCAGCCGCGGUAAUACAGGGGGAGCAAGCGUUGUCCGGAUUUAUUGGGCGUAAAGGGCGCGUAGGUGGAUCUGUAAGUGAGUGGUGAAAGCCUGGGGCUUAACUCCAGAAUUGCCUUUCAUACUGCAGGUCUCGAGUGCGGGAGGGGGAGAUGGAAUUCCUGGUGUAGCGGUGGAAUGCGUAGAUAUCAGGAGGAACACCGGUGGCGAAGGCGAUCUCCUGGCCCGUAACUGACACUGAGGCGCGAAAGCGUGGGGAGCAAACAGG